CAGGCCUAACACAUGCAAGUCGAACGGCAGCACAGGAGAGCUUGCUCUCUGGGUGGCGAGUGGCGGACGGGUGAGGAAUGCAUCGGAAUCUACUCUUUCGUGGGGGAUAACGUAGGGAAACUUACGCUAAUACCGCAUACGACCUACGGGUGAAAGCCGGGGACCUUCGGGCCUGGCGCGAAUGAAUGAGCCGAUGCCCGAUUAGCUAGUUGGCGGGGUAAGAGCCCACCAAGGCGACGAUCGGUAGCUGGUCUGAGAGGAUGAUCAGCCACACUGGAACUGAGACACGGUCCAGACUCCUACGGGAGGCAGCAGUGGGGAAUAUUGGACAAUGGGCGCAAGCCUGAUCCAGCCAUACCGCGUGGGUGAAGAAGGCCUUCGGGUUGUAAAGCCCUUUUGUUGGGAAAGAAAAGCAGUCGGUUAAUACCCGAUUGUUCUGACGGUACCCAAAGAAUAAGCACCGGCUAACUUCGUGCCAGCAGCCGCGGUAAUACGAAGGGUGCAAGCGUUACUCGGAAUUACUGGGCGUAAAGCGUGCGUAGGUGGUUGUUUAAGUCUGUCGUGAAAGCCCUGGGCUCAACCUGGGAAUUGCGAUGGAAACUGGGCGACUAGAGUGUGGCAGAGGAUAGUGGAAUUCCUGGUGUAGCAGUGAAAUGCGUAGAGAUCAGGAGGAACAUCCGUGGCGAAGGCGACUGUCUGGGCCAACACUGACACUGAGGCACGAAAGCGUGGGGGAGCAAACAGGAUUAGAUACCCUCUAGUCCACGCCCUAAACGAUGCGAACUGGAUGUUGGGUGCAAUUUGGCACGCAGUAUCGAAGCUAACGCGUUAAGUUCGCCGCCUGGGGAGUACGGUCGCAAGACUGAAACUCAAAGGCAUUGACGGGGGCCCGCACAUGCGGUGA
rnacentral:rRNA from 1 species